rnacentral:lncRNA from 1 species
AACAGAGAGAAUCAACAUUAAGCCCCAUUGGACUGGAUUCUGAAGAUGCUUGAGGACUUCCUGCCUUAGUCAGAUUUGGUUUGGAACUGGGGCAGGGCCAGGCCUGCAGGUGGAAGCAACAUCAGCCCCAGCUGUGGGUCCUUCUGACCUCUUUUUCUCUCUACCAGAGAACUGGCUAUUUUUACCUGUCAACUGAGAAGGAUGGAUAGAGAAAAGCAUCAUUACAAAAGUGAAAUGUGUGAAUUUUAUUCUGGCUUUGAACAUUGAGUAGACGAAGAAGACAAUUCCAGACGGAGGAAACUCCACAAGAAAUAUCAUGGAAAUUUGAAAGAACACAGUGGGCUUGGGAAGAGAGAUCUCAGUGGUGGAAGCACCAUCAUCCCAAGGAGACUUAGGGUGCUUCCAAGACCAAGAUAACCAGGCAAUCAUAGUAGAUGCAUCAAUGCACCCUUGCCCAAGGGCCUAGACAAGAGGUAUUGUUUAGCUUCGCAUGAAUUUUAUCACCUUGCCUAGAACCAGCCACCAUCUGCCAGGGCUCCUGACUUUUUCUGAAAUGAAUAGACACUAAAGCCUGCUGGGGAAUUUCAUGGAAAUCAAGAUGACUCAACCCAGAGUCCAUUUCAAGGCUAGGAUGCUAGAGGACGCCAACAAAGGAGUAGGGAAGUGAAACGGAUCAGCUCACAUCCAAGCCCUUGCAUGAUCAAUCCUGCAGUAGGAGUGCUGCUCAGUUGGGACUCAUGAGAGCCCGGAAGAGGAAAAAGCAGCUCUAAGCAUAGCAAAGAAGCUGUUAUGGAAAAGACCCAAAUGUUAAAAUGGUGGACAUAGUAAAGUGAUUGGUUCUGCUUAGGGGAAUCUAGAUCCCCACAUUUUGACCUCCACUGGAGUCUCAGAAGAACAAGUGCCAGGGGGGCUUGCCACAGAGGCCAAGGCAGUGAAUGUCAGGCACAUCACAGUCCCCAAGAUGGGGAGAAGACUGAGAUGCAGGGUAACAACUGCAAUCCAUUCAUGGGAGCCAUGUUUAUCUUAAAUCAUUGACAGUGAGAUAAGGAUCAUGUCAGCCUUCAUACCUUUGAUGAUGAUCCCAGGCUGCAACAGUGACACAUAGAACUGGAUUCAGUAACUAACUACAGAUUCCAUCAACCAGGACUAGUAAAGUGAAAGGCAGAAAUUGGGAGGAGGGGUUUCUUUCUUGCUUAUAAAACUUUAUUUGGUUGUGUUGAGUAUGUGCAUGUAUGUAUGAAAUCCCAUAAAGCAGUCUUCUUAGGAACAAGCCAACAUGCCACAAUGUAGGAGAUCUUUGGAGCACUGGCCUAAAUGGCAGAGAGCUCAAGGGACUCUGCUUUGUACAAGGCAUGAUUUGUACCACCACCACUAUCCCUGUUUCAGAGCACUGUUGAAUUGUUCCAAACCUGGAUUUCUAUGUCAGCUCCCUGUCUAUAGUACUUGACUGAUAAAUGCUAGUUUCUGAAAUCUGCUUUGGUUCUAUAAUUUAUUAGACAGCUUUUUCUUCCCAUUUUAUUACUUGUUUUUACUGUCAUUGGUAUAUUAUCUCUUACAGUGAAAACAUUCAUAGGCUGAUUGAAGAGAAGAUCUGAAAUUAUUAGGCAGCAAGCAUACAAAACCCUUGCUUUAUAAAGAUAAUAUCUUAAAGGCCUAAUGUCUAUGGUUCAAAGCAGCCUGGAGAUGUUGGCUAAAUCUUCCAUCAUAGAGUCCUCAUGGGAUCUGGAAGCUCUGAUUUAUCUUCCUUCAGGCCCUAUAAGUUAGCUUUCCACAUCUGUAGGUUCCACAAUCAACCUUGGAUCAAAAACAUUUGAAA